rnacentral:sRNA from 1 species
UGUAACGGUCACCGCAAGGUCCCUGCCACAAGGGCAGGCUGUCUUACGCGGCUCGCGCGUCGAGUCGCAACCCGGCAACGCCGGCUUCAACAAAACCCGCCGGACUUCGAUCCGGCCGUUGGAAACCACUGUUUGGGAGAGUUACGACUAUGAAGC